rnacentral:rRNA from 1 species
UUUUCNNUGGSUARACGYUAGYUACAGGCUUAACACAUSCAAGUCGAGGGGCAGCAUGUUGGUUGCUUGCAACCAAUGAUGGCGACCGGCGCACGGGUGAGUAACGCGUAUCCAACYUCCCCCUUAGUAGAGGAUAGCCCGGCGAAAGUCGGAUUAAUACUCUAUGUUGUAUUUCGAGGACAUCUGACGAAUACCAAAGAUUUAUCGCUAUGGGAUGGGGAUGCGUCUGAUUAGGUAGUCGGCGGGGUAACGGCCCACCGAGCCAUCGAUCAGUAGGGGUUCUGAGAGGAAGGUCCCCCACAUUGGUACUGAGACACGGACCAAACUCCUACGGGAGGCAGCAGUGAGGAAUAUUGGUCAAUGGGCGCGAGCCUGAACCAGCCAAGUAGCGUGCAGGACGACUGCCCUAUGGGUUGUAAACUGCUUUUAUGCGGGAAUAAAGUGGCGUACGUGUWCGCUUUUGUAUGUWCCGCAUGAAUAAGGACCGGGUAAUUUCCGUU